CUUGGAUGUCUAAGAAUAGGACCCCUUUAGGAGAGGCCCAGGGAAGAGAAGAGGAGCCUGGUUCGAAAAGGGAGACUGGGGCCAGAUAAGGGAGAUUUUAGGUAUGAAGCGAAUGACCGGGGCCCUAGGAAGCCACUGAAGGUUUUUGUCAAUGGCCCAGGGAAAGCAGUGUUCAUCUGGCUGCAGGGUGCAGAGUGGAUUCGAGCUGAGAAAGCCUUCAUGGUGGAAACGUGUGACAUGGUGGCAUUUGCCUCUGCCCUUGUCCUCUCCCCAGCCCCACCCAACUCUUCCUUCCUUCUGGUUACCAGAGCAAAGGUGUUAUUUCCUAUGCCUUCCUCCUCUGCUUCUGGCUGUGUUGACCUCCAUCCUCUGUUUCUCAUCCUCUUCCUUCUUUCUUUCUGAACUGCCCCCCACCACUCUUCCUUUGAGAUCCUUUACCUAAAAUGGGAAGCUGAGUGAGAGGGAAGUUGGGGUCUUUGUCAGGGGAACCCACGGAACAAUAGUGGAGUCCACCUGGCCUGGGUUUUCUUGAGUUAGAACAGCGCUCUCCUGGAACUUUGAGGUGAAAAAGUGAAAGCCCCAAACCCAGGAACUUCAUAGUUUCCAGUUUAAACUCACCUUGCUGCCUCUGCAAAGUUCUCACUCUUCUCGCCAUUCCUAUAGGCUCCCUCUCGCAACCAGGAAUCUAAAUCAUAGAAAGCUUCAGACUUAGCUGCCAUUCUCAUCGGCAUGGAGCCGUGGUCCUCCUGUGUCCUUGCCAGGCACACCUGUGCUUCUGAUGGCAGCUUCAUCAUGGGGCCCUGGCUAUUGCUUUUGAGGCCACAGCAGGACAGAAGUCUAGUCCACAAGUGGGGUCCUCGGUGAGCAUGGCCUUGCUUCUGUGGUCUGGUCUGGGAAGUAGCUCAGGCUGGGGGGAUUGCCUUGGCUGGAAGGUACAACGUGGCAAAUGAGUCUUGAACAGGUUGGAGUUUGUAGGGGCCACUCAAGGCCCACCAGGUAAGCUGGUUUCUCCGCUGUUUCUCACUAUGAAACUCGUUCUUUUUUGUUUUGUUGUGCUGUGUUUUGUUUGAGACGGAGUCUUGCUCUGUUGCCAGGCUGGAGUGCAGUGGCGCGAUCUUGGCUCACUGCAAACCUCCGCCUCCCGGGUUCAAGCAAUUCUCCUGCCUCAGCCUACCGAGUAGCUGGGAUUACAGGCAUGCAUCACCACGCCUGGCUAAUUUUUUUGUAUUUUUAGUAGAAAUGGGGUUUCACCAUAUUGGCCAGGCUGGUCUCAAAGUCCUGACCUUGUGAUCUGCCCACCUCGGCCUUGAAACCCGUUCUUGCACAUGUUGGUAAAUGUUUAAUAACUGGCUCUCUGAGAAAAAAAAAAGGAAGAAAACAAAAGCCUUUUUAAUGGUGUUUACUGAUUUCUGUGAUGUAAAUAUGGCAAAGUUCAAGCUAUCAAUAUGAUGUCACUAAAACCAGGAUUGAGAAGUGAUGCACCAUUUUUUCUCACAAGCUGGUGUGAAGAAGACCUGGCAGUGACAGAUACUAAAAUGACAGAGGAUUGUAUGGGACAGUGUGGCAAGUCCCGCGGCUGAGAGGCCAUAUGGUCAUGAAAGCACGGCUCUGUAGGUCACCACUGCUCUGUCUGGUGGCUCAGCUUCCUCGUCAACCAUGGUAGUAGGAGCAUGAGAUGGUUGAGUUCUGAGGGGAAGUAUGGAGGAAGAGGAAAGUCCCCUGAGUUAUUUUGUUUGCCAAGCAAAAUAUAAAUUAAGAAGCUUGCAUGCAGCAUGGGCAGUUAGCUGUAGAUCCAUUGGAUGGAAUUUUCUACAACCUUAGGAUGGAUAGAAGCUAAUGACGGUCUAGGUGUGCCCUCUAUUCAAUAUUCUUUGACUGAAAUUGAAUUGAUAUAGGAGCAGCGUGUUGGUUUAGAAUGAAAUAGGACAUUUCAUAAGCCAGCCAAAAUGCAAAAAGCAGACAGGAAAACCAAGCAGGACAGGAAAAACAUCCCUUGAAACAUGAGCCAGGGAGGGUUAGGUUUGAAAUGACAAAAGAUCUGAGCUCCAGAGAGUCCGAGUAUUACAUUCUGAACCAAUUACUGACAGAAGUCAUGAGGCUAUGGACCUGGGGAAGGACAACCAUGGGUAAUGGAAGCAGGUGGCUUAGAAAAAAAAAGCACCUUUCCUCUAGGCACACUCCUGGGUAAUCUGGUGUGUUUGGAACAUGUAUGAGCCUGAGACUGAGCUAUCAGGACACAGGCCAUGGUGAGCCAGCUGGGGUGUGCCAGGUGCAUGUGGAUCAUGCAUUCCCCUAUUGAGUUACAACAUCCUGUGGGUUCAUACCAGCCUCACAGUGCUCCUUGCACAACCUGCUGUUCAGGGAGCUUUCCGUAAGGGCAGGUGCUUCCUCACAAUGAAGGGCAUGGACACCUGCUGCACUAUGCAAUAGUAGUGAGGAUGGGAGGAGCAUGGAGAAGCCAAAUAUGUAGGAAAGGCAUCCUCUUCUUAACUCAGACUGCUGAGUCCCUAAUUACCAGCUGCAGACCACCAAUAAGGGUGGAGCACCAUGCCUGGACAUAGUGGCCAUGCUUUUAUAUUUGGACUGGACAAAAGGGAUCUUGAUAAGAGUUUAGCCUUGGAAGGACUCCUACAGAGAGCAUCUAUGACCCCCAAAGACAGAUUUCAGGCCUACUAAAAGUCUCUUUCUCAUGAGACACUUACCCAUUGAUCAAAUGACUUCUCAUUCAUGGUGUUAUCAGUCCUGUUACAAUGUUGUUUAACCUGUAACAUGGAUAUAAUAUCUGCCCUGCCUUCAUUUUAGGAUUCUAGGGAAGUGCUUGGAAGAGCACCAAGUGCAAUGCAACUAUAGGGUUAUUAAUAAUGUUGCUAUUAUACAUUUUGAUUGAUGAGAUUUUGACAAUGGGAAGCCCCCUCUCUCCCCACUCUGGCCACAGGACCUGUUCCUAAACGUACAUCUCAGUCCACACUCCAAAGACAUUUCUUGGAAACGCUUCUCAUUGUGGUUCAUUCUAUAAAAAAGUGCUCCGGCUCCAAGUGGGCAUGAAAGUUCAUCACAACAUUUGCCAUCAAUAAAAACCCAAUUCUUUCCAUGUGAAAAGCAUUACUGCUGUCAAAUGGUUAUUGAGUGAUGAUACCUGAAUAAUGGGAAUAUAGGAACCGGAAAAUAUACAAAGGGAAACCUCACUGGGAUGCCAAAUUGUAAAGACAGAAAUGCGAAUAUCUGAGGGAAAUUAGUUAAGCAGAGCACAGCACACAUGCCUUCACCAAGGAGGGAAGAUGAGCAGGCAGGAUCGGUGGAAGGUAGAGAGAAGAAGUGCUGGGUUGAGCAUGGCUUUAUCCACUUCCUGGUGGGCCUGGGGCAAGUCGCUGAGCUAUAUUCAGGCCCAGUUACAUUGUCUGUUAAAUGGGAAUGAUUCUUCCCUCAUGGAUGUGUGUGAGAAACAGAUGGUAUCAAAUGGUGGAAAUGAGAGCAUCAACAAUGCCCUUUUGAUACGUCACAGAAGACGGUAACUAUGACAGCCCAUAGACCACGCCCACUUUACGGCCAGCCCUCUCAGUCCAGGAACUUGUUGAAAGUUAUCGUCUCAAAAAUUCUGUCACAAUAGCUGGUGCCUUUGCAAUUAAGCUCCUUUGGUCACACAGGACCCCUGGAGCUCAUUUGAGACACUUCCACGCCUAAGGGUCAGAAGCUGGUCCAGAACACCAAGGGAGCAGCCUCUUUUGGCAACCCACCUGGCUGCCUGUGAGGCUUCCUGGCCGGGAUGCCCUGCUGCCUCCUCUUGAAAUGCAGCUCUGCCCUCUGCUACUUCAGCUCCUGGCCACCUUCCAGUUCAGCUGCACAUGCUCACAUGUUACCAGCCCACUCCUGUGCCAUUCUUGGCUGACCAGAAGGAAUCAGCGCGGGUCAGUGUGGCAGACAAAGAAUAAGGCUUUGAAGAAGUGCUGGGUUGAGCACGGCUUUAUCCACUUCCUGGUGGGCCUGGGGCAAGUCGCUGAGCUAUAUUCAGCCCCAGUUACAUUGUCUGUUAAAUGGGAAUGAUUCUUCCCUCAUGGAUGUGUGUGAGAAACAGAUGGUAUCAAAUGGCUAGUCCCCUGUGUAUACAGCUAUACCCACGUGAAGUGUUGGUAGAGUGCUCAUACUCCGGUUUGCUGGAACACUCUGUUUAGGACAGUUAUCCCGAUGAAAUCAGUAAACAGGCCCCAUUUUAUUCUCAAAAGUGUCCUGGGUUGGGUAAUAAAUUAUAUCACCCUGGGUAUUGUGAUAUCUGGAGGGAGUAAAUGAGGCUGGGAACUUUCCCCAAAGAUGUUCAGAUCCUUAGAAUUCCAGUCCCUUCCUCCUCUUUUGGAGCACAGAACUUCGCAUCCUUCAGUCUUGAUUCACUUUCAAAAUAAUAAUUCUUCAGUUAGUCCAUUAAAAGAAAUAACAGCCCCGUUUUAAUUUCAGCAACGGCCUUGGAAUGAAAAGACUACUAAUUACUCCAAUUAACCAAGCACAUUAAGUGCACAUGUUCAAACGCAUAUUAAGAUACCAUCUAUCUCGGUCCUGAAGUUCUCGAGAUGCUGGAAUGCAUAAACAUUCAGUGGAAGAAUUGUGACUGCAGAGAAAACACAAACAGAGCAGGCUGUUUGUUUGUGUGACUGCCUACUUGUGGAGAAAUAACCAAGAGAUGUGGAAAGACAUGAGGGCUUCUCCCCAGUUUAUGUUUGUAAUUAUUGCCCAGAGGAGACAGAACAAAGAGCUUUCUAUUUAUAGCCAAAGUCUAAAGGGGGUUGGGAGGGUGGGAGGAGGA
rnacentral:lncRNA from 10 species